rnacentral:lncRNA from 1 species
GCGGCCGCCGGCAUCUGCCCAACUCGCUCGCGCUUUCCGCCCAGGGUUCUGAAAAAUAGAAGAAAAAAGGACAGGCUAGAGUGCAGUGGCGCCAUCUCAGCUAACUGCAACCUCUGCCUCCCAGGUUCAAGCGAUUCUCCUGCCUCAACCUCCCGAGUAGCUGGGAAUACAGCUGCACGCUUCCAUUCCCAGCCCCAGCCAGAGAAGAGGAGCCAACUCCUCACGGCAGAUCCCUUGAUAGAGGAGGAUGAACCGAAUCCAUGACCCUCCAGACCCGGGAAGCGACGCACCCUAGGCCUUGGCACCGCAAAGCCCGUGCUGAGCGCACGGACGGGUGCUGCCCGGGACUCGGCCAGGAGGGCGCCCAUGCCAACGCCUCUUGCAGGAUUAGUGCCUUCGGUUGGCAAAAGGCGGAUAAAGGAAGAGCGAAACCACAUCAGGAAGCUAAGGGUGGUCCACGCUCCCUGUCCUUUUACUUCCCGCGCCAAAGGCACAGUGAGGCUUGCUUAGAAAAGUCCAUCCCGCGAUUGG